ACAGGGAUUGCCUCAGUAACGGCGAGUGAAGCGGCAUCAGCUCAAAUUUGAAAUCUGGCUCUUUUAGAGUCCGAGUUGUAAUUUGCAGAGGGCGCUUUGGCAUAGGCAGCGAUUCAAGUUCCUUGGAACAGGACGUCACAGAGGGUGAGAAUCCCGUACGUGGUCGCUAGCUCUUGCCGUGUAAAGCCCCUUCGACGAGUCGAGUUGUUUGGGAAUGCAGCUCUAAAUGGGAGGUAAAUUUCUUCUAAAGCUAAAUAUUGGCCAGAGACCGAUAGCGCACAAGUAGAGUGAUCGAAAGAUGAAAAAAACUUUGGAAAGAGAGUUAAACAGCAUGUGAAAUUGUUGAAAGGGAAGCGCUUGCAGCCAGACUUGCCUGUAGUUGCUCAUCCGGGCUCUUGCCCGGUGCACUCUUCUGUAGGCAGGCCAGCAUCAGUUUGGGCGGUUGGAUAAAGGUCUCUGUCAUGUACCUCUCUUCGGGGAGGCCUUAUAGGGGAGGCGACAUACAACCAGCCUAGACUGAGGUCCGCGCAUUCGUGCUAGGAUGCUGGCGUAAUGGCUGUAAGCGGCCCGUCUUGAAACACGGACCAAGGAGUCUAACAUCUAUGCGAGUGUUUGGGUGUCAAGCCCGAGCGCGUAAUGAAAGUGAACGGAGGUGGGAACCCCUCGGGGUGCACCAUCGACCGAUCCUGAUGUCUUCGGAAGGAUUUUGAGUAAGAGCAUGUGCUGUUGGGACCCGAAAGAUGGUGAACUAUGCUUGAAUAGGGUGAAGCCAGAGGAAACUCUGGUGGAGGCUCGCAGCGGUUCUGACGUGCAAAUCGAUCGUCAAAUUUGGGCAUAGGGGCGAAAGACUAAU
rnacentral:rRNA from 1 species